rnacentral:rRNA from 1 species
AACCUCCGCAAUGUGAGAAAUCGCGACGGGGGGAUCCCAAGUGCCAUUCUUAACGGGAUGGCUUUUCAUUAGUGUAAAGAGCUUUUGGAAUAAGGGCUGGGCAAGACCGGUGCCAGCCGCCGCGGUAACACCGGCAGCCCUAGUGGUAGCAGUUUUUAUUGGGCCUAAAGCGUCCGUAGCCGGUUUAAUAAGUCUCUGGUGAAAUCCUGUAGCUUAACUAUGGGAAUUGCUGGAGAUACUAUUAGACUUGAGACCGGGAGAGGUUAGAGGUACUCCCAGGGUAGAGGUGAAAUUCUGUAAUCCUGGGAGGACCGCCUGUUGCGAAGGCGUCUAACUGGAACGGUUCUGACGGUGAGGGACGAAAGUUAGGGGCGCGAACCGGAUUAGAUACCCGGGUAGUCCUAACCGUAAACGAUGCGGACUUGGUGUUGGGAUGGCUUUGAGCUGCUCCAGUGCCGAAGGGAAGCUGUUAAGUCCGCCGCCUGGGAAGUACGGUCGUAAGACUGAAACUUAAAGGAAGU